UUGGCCGCGGGAGGUUCUGACGCGCGGUCCACACCCCGGCCGCCGGGACCGCGCCGAGCCACUGGCGAGACCGACCCGUGCUUGC
rnacentral:ncRNA from 1 species